rnacentral:tRNA from 1 species
GCGGACGUAGUUCAAUGGUAGAACAUCAGCUUCCCAAGCUGAGAAUGCGGGUUCGAUCCCCGUCGUCCGCUCCA